CAUUCACAACAACAUAACUUCCGGGUUACAUACGCUCGUAUCACUUUUUUCUUGGGUGGAUUUUUUACCUGGCAAAAUGUAACGAAGAGGAUAUAAAUUUCAUACAGACGCCUUAAAGGUUGCCGGGGUUGUGCUGCAAGGAUACCGUGUUUCUGACGACCGACACCGGACUGCAAUGUGCAACACGACGCUUUUGUUGAAAAGAGAAGGAGGAUUCUUGUGGUUUUACAAGCACCUCCAGCUCCAGGAGGCCCCACUUGUACAUGUAAAGCUCCAUCCCUGUCUGACCCCGUGCAUCCAGCAGUCCAGUGCACUGGCCAGCUAGCAGGCGCACAAUCAGCAGAAGGUGGCGGUAAUGCACACCAAAAGGACAGGAAACUAGCUAGGUAGCUUGCCUCAGCCCGGGAAAGGGUUUGUUCGCUUCUUUUUUUUCCUGUUUUUUCCAUGUUAUUAUAUAAAUACUGAUUCUGAAGAUGAUGUUGUAGUGCAGAGGUUUGGAGUUGCUUGGAGACAAGUAUUCGAAGCUAAAAGUGUCCCAUUACUUUUGUCCACAUCGUGUAUUUUAGAAAUUCAGCAGAAUAAAUGGAAGGCUCCAACUUACAAAUUUAACCUCCUCCGCUGUGACGUCGUGGUGGACCCUGUAGCCGCUGCCGUUGCUGCGGGGGUCGUGACCUUUGCCUUGACCUUUGCCCUGCGCGUGGCCGGUGUGGUAGCGGAUGAACCUGGAGCGUCGCACGAGCAGGUGAAGCAGGAAGCACAGCAUUUCCAUGGCGAUAGAGACGAGGAAGAAGAUGAGCGUGUUCCUCCUCUCGUCCGGGAUCAGCAGCUUGGUGAAGAUGCGAGACAAGGAGAUGAUGACCCCCGCCGUGCCUGGGCGCAUGGUGAAGAAGGAGGAUGUGAAAACAGGAAUCGGAGGGGAAAAUAAUUUGAUAAGAGCGGAUGUUUCCAUACUUACUCUCUCCGGUCAUCACCCCUUGUGUGUACCUCUUGGGCAGCAUCCCCAUGUAACCAUAGAAACUGGACUGCUGCACUGGAAGCAGAUGAGGAAGUGCGGACAAUAACAGUCCACGUGUUACACUCUUCCUGAAAUAUCAUCGAGAUUUGGAUGACGCGCACCGACAGACAAGUUUUUAAGACGGGGGUGUCCAAACGUUUUCCACUGAGGGCCACAUAGUGAAGAAUGAAAGGAUGCAAGUAAGGGCCACGUUGAUAUUUAGCCAAGUUGAUAGCUAAGACGUUAUACUGUAAGGUUGAUAUGCUAACACGUUAUACUGUAAAGUUGAUAGCUAAGACGUUAUACUGUAAAGUUGAUAUGCUAAGACGUUGUACUGUAAAGUUGAUAUGCUAAGACGUUAUACUGUAAAGUUGAUAUGCUAAGACGUUAUACUGUAAAGUUGAUAAGCUAAGACGUUAUACUGUCAAGUUGAUAGCUAAGACGUUAUACUGUAAAGUUGAUAAGCUAAGACGUUAUACUGUCAAGUUGAUAGCUAAGACGUUAUACUGUAAAGUUGGUAGCUAAGACGUUAUACUGUAAAGUUGAUAUGCUAAGACGUUAUACUGUAAAGUUGAUAAGCUAAGACGUUAUACUGUGAAGUUGAUAUGCUAAGACGUUAUACUGUAAAGUUGGUAGCUCAGACGUUAUACUGUGAAGUUGAUAUGCUACGACGUUAUACUGUAAAGUUGAUAUGCUAAGACGUUAUGCUGUCAAGUUGAUAUGCUAAGACGUUAUACUGUGAAGUUGAUAUGCUAAGACGUUAUACUGUAAAGUUGAUAGCUAAGACGUUAUACUGUAUGUACAGUAUUUCAAGAAAAAUCUCAGCUUUAAUACUUCAACUCUAUGCUACUAAAACAUCAUUUUUCCAUCAUAUUACCAGUUUAUUCUCGUAAAAUUACAGCCGUUUUUAAAGUUUCCAACAAUUUCAAAUUUCUUCUAUAUUUAUAUUUCUAUUCUAAUAUUUUCACCUCAUUCCCACAAUGUUAGAACUUUCUACCCAGCCUAAUUGUCCAAAAUGUACAACUUUAUUUUGUUUUGUUUGCUUCUCUUAAUGUUAUGAUCUUUUUUCUUUCAUAUUUAAACUCUGUGCUACUAAAAUGAAGGUAUUCUCCUAAAAUUACAACAUUCCUUGUUAGAAUAUAACUUUCUUCUCUUAAUAUUUUGACUUUGUUUUUUUAAAUGACAGCAUUUAAUCCAUUUUUUGUUGUUGUUUUUUUUUAAAUCUACCAUCUAUUUCAGCUUUCUUCUUUUAAUAUUAUGACUUUAUUCCCAUAUUUUCACCUUAUUCCUAUAAUAUUAUAUUAUUAUUAGGGAUGUCUGAUAAUAUCGUACUACUAAUAUUAUCGUCCUGAUGUUGGCAUAAAAGUGGUUCUUGAUACUGAUAUCGGUAUGGGGGUUUUCCGUAUAAUGAAAACCGAUUAUUCAAAAAAACAAAAAAACAAAACCUGCUGUAUAUAGGCAUACAGGCUGCCGUACUUGCUGUCAUCUCGGCAUCCAGCGGCGCCAAUACGUGGAAAUACUUCGUCACGUCCUGUGUUAUUCCUCGCAGUCGGAAGUGGGCGUGAUAUGUUGAAAGCACGGGCGUGGGUGUGCCGCACAUGGCAUCGACCUCGGCUAACUCAGCAUGGUCUCGUCGUCUCUGUUGUCAGUCGACAUUUUUACCCACGUCGAGGGUCACCAAAUGUGGAGAUGCGAUACACAACGGGACAGAGUCGAGGUAGGUGGCACCCAUCGGUUUACUCUCCACUCAACUCAACAACAAGCAACAAUUUUUUAGCAAAUGCUAAGUGGCCACAACAACCUCAUGACCUGGAAAAGGAAGAUAGAUAAAUAGAUACUUUAUUCAUCUCCAAGAGAAAUGGAUAACACAUAUCGGUAUCAGGAUUGGUUGAGAUUGGAAUCGGAAAUUGAGAGUUGGCCAAUAUCCGCAUAUCGGUUGUCGGCAAAAAAGCCAAUAUCGGACAUCCCUAAUUAUUAUAUAUUAUUAUGUCAAUACUUUUUCUCCAAACUAAUUUUCCAAAAAUUACAACCUUGUUUUGUUUGUUUCUCAUAAUAUUAUGACUUUUUUUUCUUUAAUAUUGAUUUCUUUAAUAUUUAAUAAUGAUGUUAUUUUUUCCCAAAAUAUAAUAUAAUAUCAAGUUAUUCUCGUAAAAUGAUGAGUUUUCCUUGUUACAAUACAACAUUUUUGUCUUCAUAUUUUGACUUCAUUCUUUGACUUCAAAAUUACUGUUGAUUUUUCCAUUGUUGCUGCUUUUGUUGGCUAAGAAAAAAAAUAAAUUCAGCUGUGGCGCUGCAAAUGUCUCCUGAGCCGCACUUUGGACACCCCCGCUUUAAGCUUAUUAAUUCCAUGGAAGGGUCUCCUUUAAAUGUAAGACGUGUAUUUGUGUCGUGCUUGAGACCCUGAUGCUGUGUUAGCAUGCAAAUAGGAGGCAGUGGACAUGUCAGCAAACAUCCAUUCAUUAGUGUGCAUGUUGCUGUCCCCCUGAUGACUAAAAGCACAUGUUCACAUGUUCAGCAGUGCUAGCAGCUUUCAACCUUCUGUAAUCACACGCUGCGCAUGGACACCAAGCAAGGACGUUGUUGGAUGGAUGAAUGGAUGGCUAGCAUCACGUCAGAUGAUCUCAGGUCUCCCAGCCCUUCUGGGAAACAUGAGCUUGGAGUCCUUCAAGUUUUGGGUGUCUUCACUGUUUGGACUUUUGGACGGAUGGAUGGACAGAAGUGGAUGACGGAUGAUGGUAUGGAUGGACGGACAUGGUGACGGACAGACACACAGAUGGACUGAUGGAUGGAUAACAGACGAGCGGAUGGACAGCUGACUUAGAUGUAUGUCUUACCCGUGCAUCCAAAGGCGACAAUUCCCACUGAGACCAGGUUGAUGACAUAAGCCUGACUGGUGGUGAACUUGGCCAACCACACGUCAAACACGCUGACAAACACCAGAGGCCCCAAUGCUAAGAUGUAGCCUGCACACAGACGCACAUCACACAUAUGGUGAAGCCUCGUUUUUUUUUUUUCCCCAUACACUGUCUCGGUUAUCGUACGUCCAAACAGUGCGCCUAACAAACUCCUCGAGUGCCCAAACGAAGCAGCCAGGCGUUGGUGACUCAGUCUCUGUGAAGAAUAGAUAGUGGUGGACUCUAUAGACAGAUUCCAGCCAGGGAAUCCUUUCGUCAUCUUUAUUAUGUGCUUUAUUUGCCCAAAGAACGCACGCAGAGCGACUCAUUUCUGUCUCCUUCCUUCCUCCUUCCAAGCAGUGUGCCAUGCACUGAUGAGGUGUUCAAGCACACUGUGUAUUUCUGAGUGUAAGAGGAAUUUGUGCUUUUUUAAAAAAUUGAAUAAAGGUUGCACGUGCAAGAACUUUGAUGAAGAAGGUGAUAAACAUGUACAACGUUAGCGUCUGUUACACUAGGAUUGUAAUUGAAAGGUUCCUAGUUAACACGGGUUGCAGGAGGAAUGGAUUAACGGAGACACAUAAUAGAUUGUGAGCUGGGCUCGUGUGUGUAAUGAUGAUUGUAACUUCUGCUGACGGUUACAGUCAAGUUCAAUCAAGUGAGCAAGUAUACAGCUCAUUUGUGGCUUUCGUCUAACCUUUUGGAAGAAAAUGAGGAAAAGCGAGGUUCCACUGUACAUUCAUUAGUAGCUCAUGGCUAAACAUCGUGAGAACAUUGGAUCAGGUGACAGUUAAUAGACUAAGAUGCGACAAAAGAAGUGUGUGUGUCUGCAAAUGUUUGUGUUACACACCCACAGUGAUCCUGGUGUGCAUGCUGAGUCUCUCCACCAGCACGUUGUUGAGGAUGACAGCCAGCAGCGCCACCAGGAUGUACGUCAGACUCAUGUCGAACACGAUGGAUGUCCCUGAAACAUGCAUGUGUUCACACAGUGUGUCUUCAGUCCUCUCAGAGACCCAUUUUUGGUGCGUAUUUUAUACCAGUGAACUUGUGGUGAAGGUAGUCCACAUCUGUGAUGAAGCUGUUGUAGGGCAGCAGGAAGCCAACCCCAGCCAAUAGCAUUGCAAAGUAGAUGCCAUGGUAACGGUCGUCAGGGAUCGGCUCCUCAAAGUCUGAGCGGGAAGGUAGGAAAUGAAAAGAAUAUGAAAUCAGACCCGAGAGCUUCAUUCAAGCUAAUUUGGAGGAAAUACAGGAAGGUUUUCUGUUUUCACUUUUACAUGAAAUACCAUGGCCUUGAUGUGAUAUGGCACCCGGAGUCAGUACUUCAUUGGGCAUCUUGGUUAAUUGGGUCCAGACCCAACCGUGAUAUAUGAAUUUCCACAAAGUAAGGUUCUGGAUUUAUACAUCAAAUAUUUUUUUAGUUAGAGCAUAGAAAACCUCUUCACAACCUUCCAACGACGACUUUUAACAUCAUUAGAGCCCCCUAGACAUGAAAUAACACCCCUAUAGUCACAUUUACGCUCCUAUUACCCAAUAUAGUAGACAUAAUGAGAGAAAAUGAAGACAUUAUAGACAAAAUAAGACUCUUGUGUUGAUGAAACGAGUUCCAGUGCUACAGGAGCUGAGUGGAUGGUGGACAGGAAGUGACGUCGGGGUUCAGAGUUGAGUUUUAGCUUGUUGUGGG